rnacentral:rRNA from 1 species
UACGAAGGGGGCUAGCGUUGUUCGGAAUUACUGGGCGUAAAGCGCACGUAGGCGGCGAUUCAAGUCCGAGGUGAAAGCCCGGGGCUCAACCCCGGAACUGCCUUUGAAACUAGGUUGCUAGAAUCUUGGAGAGGCGAGUGGAAUUCCGAGUGUAGAGGUGAAAUUCGUAGAUAUUCGGAAGAACACCAGUGGCGAAGGCGACUCGCUGGACAAGUAUUGACGCUGAGGUGCGAAAGCGUGGGGAGCAAACAGG